AGUGAACGCUGGCGGUAGGCCUAACACAUGCAAGUCGAACGGCAGCACAGUAAGAGCUUGCUCUUACGGGUGGCGAGUGGCGGACGGGUGAGGAAUACAUCGGAAUCUACUUUUUCGUGGGGGAUAACGUAGGGAAACUUACGCUAAUACCGCAUACGACCUACGGGUGAAAGCAGGGGAUCUUCGGACCUUGCGCGAUUGAAUGAGCCGAUGUCGGAUUAGCUAGUUGGCGGGGUAAAGGCCCACCAAGGCGACGAUACGUAGCUGGUCUGAGAGGAUGAUCAGCCACACUGGAACUGAGACACGGUCCAGACUCCUACGGGAGGCAGCAGUAGGGAAUAUUGGGCAAUGGGCGCAAGCCUGACCCAGCCAUACCGCGUGAGUGAAGAAGGCCUUCGGGUUGUAAAGCCCUUUUGUUAGGAAAGAAAAGCAGCGGAUUAAUACCCGGCUGUUCUGACGGUACCCAAAGAGUAAGCACCGGCUAACUUCGUG
rnacentral:rRNA from 1 species